rnacentral:rRNA from 1 species
GCAAGUCGAGGGGUAACUGGGUGCUUGCACCGCCGACGACCGGCGCACGGGUGCGUAACGCGUAUCGAAUCUACCUUGUACUGAGGGAUAGCCUUUGGAAACCAAGAUUAAUACCUCAUAGUAUGAUGACUUGGCAUCAAGAUAUCAUUAAAGGUUACGGUAUAAGAUGACUAUGCGUUCUAUUAGCUAGAUGGUAAGGUAACGGCUUACCAUGGCAACGAUAGAUAGGGGCCCUGAGAGGGGGAGC